GGGGAUAUAUGAAUGGAGUUCUAAUUGUGGAGAAAAUUCGACAGUAUUCAAAAGUAACACAUAAAAAUAAGAACAAAAAACAGGAUGCAUUCAGUGCAAAGAGAGUAAAGCAGAGAUCGUGUAUAUGGGCUUUUUUGAAGACCAUCAAAGCUAUUAUCUGAAUCUUAAUCUGCAACUUAACUUGGCAUCAGGUAAAUUAUUUAAUCUUUAUAAAAAGUAUUAUAGAAAAUUUGAUUUUGUAUUCAUGGUUACCACUAUAUUAUCACCUUUGUUUCAACUAUUUUAUAGAGUUGAUGGGCUUCAAGUGUUUUAAAAAAUGUGCGCAGACGGUUUGACUGCCUGAUUCCCAAAUCAGAUUAGUAUGAUUAUUAGUUUCAACUUAUUCAGGAUGAUUAGAGAUAGAUAAAACAUAAUAAAUAUGAAUAAUUAAAUAGGAAGAAAGAAUGUGACAGGGACUCGAGAGUAUAUAUUACAAACUCCUAGCUUUCUUACAUGUAUAUAUUUUAUGAAUUUGUGCAUCACAUGUACUAUGUGUUUAUGACAUCUAAUCUCAUGUUCAUUUUUCCUAUGCAGAGAUCAGGACAAUGAGAAAGGGUGAUCUCAUAUAAAUACUUAACACUGACUUAUGGACAUGAUGAUGAGGGGGAGGACCAGAUGGUACAGUAGAUGAAGAUGCAAAGAAGCUUUUGACAUUUGAACUCUAUUUUUCGUAUUAGAUGAUACUUAACACUAGUUCUCAACAAACAUCUUAUUCAUAUUUUCCGUUUAGUUGAGACUUCAAAUCAUUCAUCAUUAUUCCUUUCCUAGCAUGAAUUCUUGAGAUUCCUUGUAGUUUAGUUGGUUGUAUCAUUGUUGAUUUUUAAUGCUUGCUACCAAAUUCAUCAUUGAGUUGUAUUCUUGUUGCAAGUUUUCCUUUGUGCAUGAGAUCCUUAC
rnacentral:lncRNA from 1 species